GGUAGAACAGGUUUGGGCGAGGCGGUCAAGAGACUCAGCAGAGAGAGAGAGAGACGAGUCAGAUUUAUUGUUUCGGUCAAAUAAAACUUUAUUUUUUCUCCAGACACAAAGUACCUGAAUCUGUUCCAGACAGAAGAAGAAGAAGAAGAAGAACCUGCCAGAAGAGUUGGACUGUUUUUAAAGAGACAGAGGAAGACAAAGGUGGACACACCUGAGGACAGAUUGGCUGUUCCUCCUCCCCCCCCUCCGACCCCUCCUGUGACAUCAUCAAUAUGUCAUCAAAAAUCAACAUUUCUUUGGAGAACCCGUACGGUCAGGUGACCAUCCCUCGGGCUAAGCUCCGCCCCUCAGAUGAUGCAACAGUGAUAGCCAAUCCGGUGGCUCUGAACAGCGAGAACCCAUACGCCCAGAAGGGCUCGGCCCCGCCCCCCUACACGGUGACGGAGGAAGAGGAGGAGGAAGAGGCGGGGCGGUGCCCAGCGUGCUGCUACCGCUGUCGCAGGAGGAAGUGAUGUCACCGUGGAAAGAGGACUGUGAUUGGCUCAUUAGCAGAUAUUCUACUUCAGGGCUGACCAGGCGUUGAUACAUCUGCAAAACCAGAACCAGAACCAGAACCAACAGAACCAGAACCGGGCCGCAGAUCCGAAGCUUAGAGACUUCAGAGGAAACGGUUCAAACUGACUUUGGACCAUCGAUCCUGGUUCUGGAGGACAGGACAGAACCUGGACAGAACCCGGACAGAACCAGGACAGAACCAGGAUAGAACCCGCCCAUGAACAGCUUCAGGACAUCAAAGAUUGUUAAAACUCUGAGAAACAAGAGAUUUAAAUGUUUGGUUUUUAUAUUUUUUAGAUUUAUUUAGAUUUUUAAUUCCUUCAAAAAGACAAGAUGGCUGCCUUUCUGCCGUUGCCAUGACAACUCCACCUGAAGACAGAAGUCUUUGUCUUACAGCUUUAAAUCAUUUUCACAUAUAAAAUAUAAAUCAGAUCCCGUUUAAUGGUUUUAUAUUUGAUCAAAGUUCAGAAAAACAUUUAGGAUUUUAUUUUAAACAAAAAGAUUUUGAUCAGAUUUUGUUCCAUCAGCAGGAAAACGAACCGAAUCAUGUUCACGUCCAGAACCAAGCAGAGAUCAUGGCUGUGAAACAAAGGGAUUUUAUAAAUGGUAGAUCAUUAUUUUGUUGUUUUAUUUCUGGAUUCAGGAAAAAUGUUUCUCCAUAAAGUAUUUCUGUUUUCACCACCAUCAUUUUCAAUAUGAAGGAUUUUUCAAAGUCUAUGUGAAGCAGAAUGAUGUCGCAGCGACUUGUAGAUGACGAACAAAAUAAAAACAUUAUUUACUUUG